UCCAAUGGUGGGCCAGGCGGGGGCGUCGCAAGACGCGCCGGUAGCUGAUGAGGCCGGUAAGGCUAACCCUGUCUGGUUCCACCACCCGU
rnacentral:antisense_RNA from 1 species